AGAACAUUAUGACAAUUUCCAAAAAGACCAACUGACAGUUUGCAGAUCAACUCACUGCAAACUGUGUAAGACCUCUAAAACAAGAGCGGGCCUGCAUUAUAAGCACAGUAAAAUUGUGACAGACUGAACUGUUCAAUGAUUAGGAUUCAUUGAAAUGUAUGUACCUGACUUUGUGAAGUGCCUUGAGACGACAUGUGUUGUGAAUUGCUGCUAUAUAAAUAAACUGACUUAAAAUCACCUCACAUGCCAGAAACUGUUGCUAAAAUUAUUAAACAAAAGUUUUCUGCUCCAUAAACUAAUGCCCAUUUUCCACUAGUCCCUACUCAGCAUGGUUCGGCACGGCUCUACUGGCCUUUUAGGCUUUUCCAUUAGUAACGGUUACGUGAAACCAGUCACUAAACACAACAUAUUAGAAUAACUAUUAUCUUCAACCUUUAGAUCAUUGUACACUUGGCUUAUUAUGUAUUGACCGCUAUAGCAAGCUAACAUUACCCUAACCUAACACAUCCUCUGGCUUGUACCCUUCAGUUUGAUGCCGCUCCAUAGCUUCCAUCUUUCUCCUGUACUCUAUCCAGAAUGUUUGUUUUGCUGCCCCCAGUCAAGGUGGUUGUUAUGUUUGUGUCACUACAAAUCACAUCACGGUACUUUUUUGGACUGUGGUGCCACUUUGCUAUUGAUGAUCCAUCCCACAUUGAAUUGGUACUCAACUUUAACGGGUAACCAACCAAACCUUGUAGAGCUGACCUGAGUAGAGUAGGUACUAAUGGAACAGGGGUAUAAGAUGUUCAGCUGCAGUGCAUAAGGCUUGAGGACUUUAAAGAAGGUCCGCCUGGACCCAGGAUUGCUUCUUGUUAAGGAAGGUGCAUUAGAAUUGUGUUGCCACAAUUUAAGAGCUUGAUCAACUUCGGCAGCAUGGAGGUUUGAGUGCAUCUGGUGAGAUCAUGACUUUUGCACAAAGGCUUUGUGACAAAAGGGCAGCAAAGAAGCCACUUCUGUCCAAAAAAAUCAUGAAAGAAAGGCUGGAGUUCUGCAGGAACUAAAGUUCCACCCCAAAUAAAUCCACCCAAAUUGCAGAUAAGGUAUACUGGUAAAGCUUAUUAACUAGCAGCUGUUUGCAAUAAACUAAUUAAACAAACAAAAAAAUAAAAUAACUCAACACUAAUUAUAUUUUCAAAAAUAUUCAACACAAAUGCCACUUUUAUUGUCUACUGUAGUCUCUUUAAUAUUUAGUAGAGAAUCCAUUGGCUGUUAUAAACAGCUGAAACUUGAUAUAUAUCCAGACAUCAGCUUGUGGCAGCGUUCCUGGGGAAUCUUAGCACACUCCUCAUGGCCAAAAGCCUCCAGUUUAAUAAUAUUCUUGGCUUAAUGCGCUCCAGUCAGCUUUUUAGAUGCCAGCAGAGAUUUUCAAUACAGUUUAUGUCUGUCACUUAGUAUUUUCCAGGACAGUUUCCGCAAAGCCGUAUGAGAUACACUUUGUGAGAUAUGCUGGAACCUUUCAUUGCCCAUGCAGAAAGAGGAAGCUAUCACUGACUGUCACUAGGUGGUAUGGCCACUGUUUCUUUAACUUUUAAACUAUGCUUCCAGCUGGGUCUGUAGGAACAAUCAGGGUCUUUGCUUUCUUUAUCUUUUUAUCUUUCUUUGCUUGUUUUCUAAAUCCAAUGAUCUCCUCACUGAACUUCUUGGAAACUUUACUUAGCCAUAUUUCUAACAUGAAAUGAAAUGCUACCAUUACCAGGCUCAAUAUUUGAGAAGUUUCGUCUAAGGCACACCUGAUGCAUCUAAUGAAGCCUUUGACUGGUGAAUGAGACCUCAGCUGAUUUGCAAAGUGUGCUCUUACGCACAGUUGGGGCCAGCCCCAGGUUGAACAAAAUGGACUGAACUACACACAGAGGACAAAGGACACAGCACUAGAGGCCCUUUUUUCCAUUUUCUUCAAUAGGAGGUAGACAGGAAAGAGGGCAAAGAGAGGUGGAGACAUUCAGCACAGGUCUGGGACUUGAACCCGGGACAGCCACAUCGAAGACUAUAGCCUCUGCACUUGGUUGUUCACUUAACCCCUACACCACCAGUGCUGUUCUCCUCGCACUUCCCCCUCUGGACUCCAGAAGUAACUCCCUGGGAUGUGCCUUAGUGUACCGGCUGCUGGCUCUCCCGUUGCCCUCCUUUUGUCUGCUGCUGGAUUUCUCUCGGAUGUUCUCUCAUUCACCUGCCUGUCCGCCCUUCCACGCUCUCCAGUGGCAACACGCUUCUCCUUAGAUGAUCGCAUCACCUCCUCCAGCUCAUUUCCUCUCGCCAGCAACAAUAAGAAACCAAGCAAUAUUCAAAACAUUGUCAUACUAUAACAUUCCUCUGGUUGCCAAUGUUAACCCCACUCUCUCCUCUGUGCUUUUCCUGGAGGCCUGUGUGGGACCCACCUUGAAACUCUACUUGUUUGUCUGUUUAAUAAACCCAAUUCAACUAUCCA